ACCUGCCGCGAGUGGGACUUGGGCUCCGGCGGCUUGAAGAAGGAGUCCGGCAGCUUCCGCAGCCUCAUGGGCACCGUCUGCGGCACGUUGGCCGUCUUGGGGUUCAUGACGGCGUUGAAGAGAGCCUCCAGCUUGGAACCUAGUCAUGACAUCCUGGGCCGCAGAAAAAAAUCAGGCCUGAACUCAGGUUACACGCAUUCUUCCCUACGCCAGGCACAGGGGGCUCUGGAUGCCUGCUUCUCCUGUGGCAGUGUCCUGUAUGCGAGGAGGCCAUCGAAAUCACUCUAAACCAGGACAUGCCCUGGAGAAUUCUGAGCAGGGAUCGCUAUCACCCAUCACCUGGUGUGGUCCGGGCAGGCCAGAAGGGAGGCUGCGCACUCCAGAUUCCACCCCACUGCUUCGGACCCCACUUUCCUCCGAAGGGAUCUGCGUCAGUAGACCCAUGAUCGCCUCUGGGACUUCUCCCCAGCCCCAAAUGUCAAGACCAUUUAAGCACAAACUUGUAGCUUCUGGAGUUAGGGAGAUGUGAGUUCAGAUCCCAUUUCCUCCACUUAGUAGCUAUGACACGUUGGGCGCAUUACUCAUUUCCUGUUCUUUAAUUUAACAUUGGGGUCAGAGUAAUAACACCUACUUCAAUUGUUGAAGCCUUAAAUGAGCCAGUGGGCAUAAAGUCGGCCCUUCCCCCAGUUGAGGGCAUCUGGGGAGUUCUCUGUACCUGUCAUUGAUCACUUGCCCCAUGUGUUGUGCUGCGGCCUCUCUGGGACCCUACUGUCAGUCUCUUCCCCUCACAUCCAAUAGUCAAUCUACACAAAGCCUGUGGGCAGAAACUGUGCAUUAAAAACUUAAACUUUCAAGAACCAAAGUGAUAGAAAAUCUAGGGCUUUAAUGGCAGCUGUCCCUUAACUAGAACCUCUGUGGCUGGGGACACCAGUUACAGGGCUCAGGGUACAGCAGAGGUUGCUUUGCUCAAUAUUGUUACAUCUCCCAUUAAACUGAGAACAAAAUUCCUGUGAUGAGUGGAUUGGAACAGGAGUGAUUUUAUGUUCUCUGAGUACUUCUGUACACUAACCAAGAUUUUGUCAUUUACUAUUUUUUAUCUAUAAAAUUUCAGUCACAGGUUAAUAAGGGAUAAAGGUAACAUGCAUUCAGUCCUUGGUCCCCUCUCUUCCUCUCCAGCUCUGCUUUUGGAGCGAUUCCCAGUUUAAGGCACUGGAGACGGGAUGCUCGUCACAAAAAGAUCAUGAUCUUCAGUGUCCGUGUAGGUCACUGUCUCAAAAUGCUACUCCUACAACGACUUGCACUCCAUCCAUGCCAGUGGACCUUCCUGUCCGCUCCACCUUAGCCACCAGGUCCUGUGUCCACACGGUCAUAUUCAGAAAUACGCCAGUUGGGAAAUCAGGGUCUGUUAUACUAUUCUUUUAAUAACCACUUGGUUCUCUGGUUUCAUCACUCACGCUUCAUAUAGCAUUGUCUCCCUCUUUUCUACCAGCCUGUCACUCCCUUGUUCUCACUUCUUUCCCAAUUCAGUUUAGAAAUCAUAACUCACUCCUUCAACCUCAUAAUCAUCCCUGCCUUCAAUUCCAUUCCCCAUGUAUUUCACUGAACAAGAUCUAUAUAACUGCACUAGUCCAGUCACCAGUUUACCAUCAUCCCAGAGAUGUACGUACGUGAUUACAAGAAGGCAUGCUUUGUACAACUCUAAAUAAACGUCCUCUUACCAAGUGAUACUG